rnacentral:rRNA from 1 species
CCUACGGGGGGCAGCAGUGGGGAAUAUUGCACAAUGGGGGAAACCCUGAUGCAGCGACGCCGCGUGAGCGAAGAAGUAUCUCGGUAUGUAAAGCUCUAUCAGCAGGGAAGAAGAUGACGGUACCUGACUAAGAAGCACCGGCUAAAUACGUGCCAGCAGCCGCGGUAAUACGUAUGGUGCAAGCGUUAUCCGGAUUUACUGGGUGUAAAGGGAGCGUAGACGGAGAAGCAAGUCUGGAGUGAAAGCCCGGGGCUCAACCCCGGGACUGCUUUGGAAACUGUUCUUCUUGAGUAUCGGAGAGGCAGGCGGAAUUCCUAGUGUAGCGGUGAAAUGCGUAGAUAUUAGGAGGAACACCAGUGGCGAAGGCGGCCUGCUGGACGACAACUGACGCUGAGGCGCGAAAGCGUGGGGAGCAAACAGGAUUAGAUACCCUAGUAGUC